AAAUGUCAAAAAUUAUGAGAAGAAAGGGACUGCAGUUUCUUCCUCUUUUUUUUUUCUUUCUUUUUUUACAGUAAGGGAGGCAGACUUUUAUGAUGUGUUAUGAAGCAAAGUCGUAACUCUAUCAAUACUUGUCUCUUGUUAUGGUAAAAAAAAUGUCAAAAACUCUGAGAGAAAAAGGACUGCAGUUUUUUUCCUUUUUUUUCUAUUCUUUUUUAACAGUAAGGAAGGUAACUUGAGGUCAAGAUAAGAGAUAAACAAAAAAAAGCCUGUUAACACGAAAUACUAACGGCCGCAGCUCAAGAAUGUGUUAUAAUAUGCAUCGUUUUCUCUCAACGUUUCCUUCCUCAGUGAUAAGCUUCAGGGUCAUACAAAUGGCCAGUCUCCGUUCUUUCCUGUUAAUAAUACGGAUGACAGCAGCUCAAUUAUGUGUCAGGAAAGUAAUCACAAUCUGAAAUUUUUGCAUCAUCUUGUCAGUCUUGUAAUGAAUGGUGAUAUGCGUCUUGCCAUUGAGGGUUUUUUGAUAGUCGUAAACAUGAAUUAGAAUAUUAUUAAGCAAUUGUUACAUUAUUUAUUUAGAGGUCUAUGAUUCCUGCCAUUGUUGAAUUCUGGGUAGUCCUAAAUAUAGUUCAAAGUUAUUAGACAGCUGUACCGUUUAAAUACUUCAGUAGUUUUGUUUUGACUUUUUAUACAGUUAUUGCAUGGGUUGAUUUUUGAGUAGUCAUAAAUAUAGACAGCUGUAUUGUUUAAAUAUUUCUCUAGUUUCGUAAUGACUUGUGAUAUAAUUCUUGUCGUUGAUAAUUAUGUAUUGUCGUAAAGAUAAAACAAAGUUACCAGCCAACUGUUAUGUGUAAAUGAUUCAGCGGUUUUUGUAAUGACUGUUUAUAUAUUCUUGCCAUUCUUGAAAGUCUGAUAGCCAUAGACAUGAAUCAAAACUCUUGUGCAACUGUUAAGUUUAAUCAUUUAGAAGUUUUAUGAUGACUGUUGAUAUCAUUCUUGCCACUAUGAAAUUCUCUAUCGUCGUAAAUAUACAAUGAAUUUACAGGACAACUAUUACGUUCCAAACAAUUAAUCGGUUUUGUAAUGGUUGUUGAUAUUGAUCUUGCCAGUGUAGAUAUAAUGGUAAUAGCAUAUGUAGUAGUAGUAGUAGUAGUAGUAGUAGUAGUAGUAGUAAUAGAAGUAAUAGUAGUAGUAAUAGUAGUGAUAAGAGUAGAUGAAGUAGAUUUGUUUGUAAUUCGAGUAGUCAUUUGUAUUUUCAUUUAGUUCAAUUAUUCAUAAUGCACACUUUGUUAGUAUUAUUUCUUACGAUAGAACAGUAUAUAUUAAAAAAAAUCAUAUAAAGUAUUUCACUCAUUAUUGGUAUUAUUAUUAGUAGUAGUUGUAGUAAUGUUAGUAGUAGUAGUAGUAGUAGUAGUAGUAGUAUAGUCAGUCUUAGUAUCAUUGUUAUCAUUAUAUUUAUCAUUAUUAUUAUUAUUAUUAUUGCUAUCAUUGUUAACAGCAUCUUUAUUAUCUUUAUUAUUAAAGCACACUAAUCUGUU